UACGGAGGGUGCAAGCGUUAUCCGGAUUCACUGGGUUUAAAGGGUGCGUAGGUGGGAAAGUAAGUCAGUGGUGAAAUCUCCGUGCUUAACACGGAACUGCCAUUGAUACUAUUUUCUUGAAUUUUCUGGAGGUCAGCGGAAUAUGUCAUGUAGCGGUGAAAUGCUUAGAUAUGACAUAGAACACCAAUUGCGAAGGCAGCUGGCUACAGGGAUAUUGACACUGAGGCACGAAAGCGUGGGGAUCAAACAGG
rnacentral:rRNA from 1 species